UUCAUACGAUAUAAUCUUAUAAAGUUAACCUAAAUUUCUCAAAUCUUAUCUUUUCUACGAUUUUACAUAUUUCUCCCAUUUUCAGCAAUCUCUUCUCUAUUUUCCAUGAUGGUGAAGAAAGAACAGCAGCGGGAGUUGAACGGUGGUAAGAAAAAACGGCAGCGGCAGUUUUUGGUUUGACUUCUCAUCUUCUCUUUUUCUUUCUCCGCCUCUCCAGCGACCGCCAGAGUUGUUUUAUUUUUUUAGAUUUGAAAGUGUAGCUUUAUUCCUUUCUCAAAUCAAAGCCCUAAAAAUUUCUCUAAAUUCUCUAUAAUUAUAUAAAUUUAUGCAAUAUCAUCGCGAUAGGAGAUAGCUACAGCUGAUGCAAAAGCAAACGACUUCGAGCCAGAGGAGGACAAUCUAGAGGACGAGGACGGAGCCGGAGGCGUAGAUGUCAAUGCUUCUCCUUGGGCUCUAUUCCCAAACAGAAGUCUGCAAUCACUAGUGCAGCAGCUUAUUCUGAUUCGCUUUAUGUUUCUCCUAGUAUCAUAUUUUUUAAUGAUGGGGGUGAUGGUGACCAAUGUUCAUAUUCUCUGCCUUCUGCAAGAUUUGGUUAGUAAUGAGUUCGCAUUGUUGCUGCUCAAGCUCUCACAACUCUAUCAAUCAGGUCUGGUGAGCCUUUUAGGCUACCAAUCCACGAAUUCUUGAAUGCAUUUGCGCAUUGGCCGCGUGCAGUCUAAGACACCGUUUGGAUUGAUGGAUUCUAAACGAUAGAUUUUAAACAAUCCAUGGAUUUGGACAAAAUCUAUCGUUUGCCUAGAAAAAAAAUUAAUAGAAUCCAUAAAUUUAUAAAUUCCCUCAUUUUCUACAAUCCAUCAUUUUUUAGGGUUAUGAUUUCCCACCUACUAGGUGGGAAAGUCCAAAUCCACCAUUUUUUAUAGAUGAUGGAUUGUUAUACUAUUUAUUAUAUUCCAUAAAUAAUAUUAAAAUCCAUUGAUUUUAUAUUCAAUCCAAACAAUGAAAUUUUAAAAUUUAUGGAUUUAAUUUCCAUUGAUUUAAAAUCCAUCGAUUUUGCUAAAAUCCAUGGGUUUUAAAACCCCCCAAUCCAAACGGUACCUUAAUGAGUAAGAUUCAGGAAUAUUAUGGUAGUAUUCUUUUAGCUCUUUUUUCAUGGAACUUCUGCAUUUUUUUAAGCAUAGAUUCACUUUUUCUUAGGCAAGAUUCACUUUAUUUUAUGACUUUUAUUUGCUUAAUUAUGUGUAUUCUUUUCAUACGCCAUAUUUGGAAAGGCAUGCACCUCUCCUUGCGCCUUGGGUUCUAGGCCGUAGUGAAUUUGAAUUCUUAAUCGGAAUAAUAUUUGAUAGUAAAAUUGGAUUUUUGAUGGAAUUGAUGUUAGGAAGCCGGCAAAAGAGAUUGUCGGAAGUCGGCAGAAGAGGUUGUUAUAAAGAAUGAUUUAUUUUUUA